ensembl:lncRNA
CUUAUAUUGCUCUUACCUCAUAGAGUUUUUGUAAGCUUCAUUGCAUAUGAAUGUUUAACGCACUGCUUUGUGGGUAAUGUGUUCAGUCUUGGCUGUCAUUAUCUUAGACAAAUCUUAUUCAUUAUGUUUAUUGACCUAUAUUGAUUUGUGAAAGUUGGCAUAUGAUUGUUCAAAAAUAUAACUUUUUAAAUACCAAGAGAGAUGUGAGUGACUCAGGUAACUUCUCAAGAGAUACUAAAGAAAUAAAUAUUUUGUUUACUUCUUUGAACAUAGCAAGUCAUGAAUCUCAGCUUGAAAAAUCAGUGCUUUGGAGUACAGUGUGGGACAGAGGAAACUGCUUAGCAACAAUGUUUAAAAAGCCUCUGAAACUGGGUGGCUUUUGUUUCUUCCUUGGAAUACCUUGUAAGUGAACAGCCAGGAACGAAAAAUCCCAGUAUUAAAAAUAAUAACGUUUGUGAUUUUAAGAAAAGGUAGCAGAGGCAGAACAUGUUGUUUCUGAACCAAAUUGGCAGGGACACAUACAGAAAAGCCUUUUAGUAUGUUACUAACUUUUGAACUUCACCCUUCCUUUGAGGAGUCUCCCUUACCAGGCCCUUCGGCUGGAGAUGACGGGAUAGCAAGAGAUGGCAGUAGGGCAGCAAGGGCAGAACCUACAAGUGGAACUGUAAGGUGCUUUGAAAUAACGAUGAGCAGUUUUGCGGAGGGCCUUAGAUGAGAUCAUCUCAGCUGAAUCAACAGAAAGGUUAUAGAUCUGAUAAGAGAAUUUAGAAGGAAUGCUAGAUACAAGAUCCACUCACAAAAAAUCAAUAAUUUUCCUCUACAUCAGCAAUAAUCAACUAAAAAUAUAACAAAAUCUCUGAUGCCAUUCACAGUAGCAACUUCACAAGUAACCAGAAAAUGAAAUAGGUUGUUAAUAUCCAGUGUCUGGAUUCCAAAUCUUGGAGAGAUUGAUUUGUUGUUCCUUACCAUUCCACCAUCUUCCUGGAAGUCCUGCUCUGAGUAUUUUUUAUAUAGCAACAUCAAUAACAAGUACAUGGGUAGAAACCUGAUUUCCAGACUUGCAACCUUAUAUUAUUUAAAUGUCUGGUUUUCAACAGCAAAAAGUUGCAAAGCAUAUGAAGGUUUAAGAACAUAUGCCCUAUAGAUAGGAACAAAAGCAAUCACUGUUCUUGAAAAAGCCUAGACGUUGGACUUAAUGAGACUUUAAAUCAGGUAUUUUAAAUGUGUUCAAAGACUAAAGAAAAACAUGAAAAGAAGAACUAAAGGAAACUAUUAACAUAUGUCACCAAAUAGAGAAUAUGAAUAAGUAUGAGGAAGUAUUUUUAAAAGAAACAAACAGAAAGUAUGGAAUUGAAAAGAGCAGUAAGUGAAACGAGAAUUCACUAGAGCUCAACAUCAGAUGAACAGCCAAAAGAAAGACAGUGAACUUGAAGGUAAGCCCAUUGAGAUUGCCCAGUAAGGAACAUAAAUAAUGAAGAACAAUGAAGAGAAAUUAACAGAGCUUCAGAGACCUAUGGUACAUCAUCAAGCCUAUUAAUAUAUGCAUAAUGGAAGUAAAAGAAAGAGAAGAAAGGAGUAAAGAAUGUUUGAAUCCAGGCGUGGGGGCAUAUGUCUCUAAUCCCAGCUAUUCAGAAGGCUGAGGCAGAAGGAUUUCAAGUUCAAAGUCAGCCUGGACAAUUGAGCAAGACCCUCUCUCAAAAUUAAAGUAUAAAAAGGGCUGGGGAUGUAGCUCAGUAACAGAACACUUGCCUAGAAUGCAUGAGACCUUGAUUUCAAUCCUAUCUCACACGCACACACACGCACACACACACAAAUAUUUGAAGAAAUAAUGUUUGAAAACUUUACACAUUCAAGAAGCUCAACAUACAUCAAUAGGAUAAAGAGAUCCAACCUAAAAUAUCAUAAUCAAACUUUUAAAAGACAAACAGUAGAAUCUUAAAAACAGCAAACUAAAAGUGAUUCAUCCAAUACAAGAAAUCUUUAAUGAGAUUAAGAGUUAAUUUUUCAUAAGAAACCAGAGAAGGUAGAAGACAGGGAUGUAGCAUAUUCGAAGUGCUAAAAAGGGAAAAAAGUGGUCAACCAAGAAUUCUAUAACCAGCAAACUAGCCUUCAGAAACACACGAGGAAUUAAAAUACUCCUAGAUGAACAAAAACAGAGCUUGUUACUAAGCCAAACUGACCUACAAAACAUACCAAGGUGAAAAUACACUAGACAGUAAUUUGAAUCUAUGUGAAAACAUAAAGUUACCAAAGGUAAUGUAUCAUAAGUGUUUUUUUCUAUUUAAUUUAAAAGAAAAUUCAUAAAGCAAUAAUUAUAGAAAUAUGCCUAUGUAAAUUGGCAAAAUGUAUAAAGAUGUGAUUGUGAUAACAGUUUAAAGAAGGAGGAGUUGAACUAGACUGUUAUAAAUUAAGAGGUUAGUGGUAAUCUCUAUGGCAACCACUAGGAAAACAACUCAAAAAUACAUAAUAAAAGAAAUGGCCAAGAAAUUAAAAAAAAAUUAAUGUCUACCAUUAGGGCAAAGAUCAGGCAGGCUUAUUAGCCAUUUAAAAAUAUUUGUGUUCCUUAAAUUCAGGGUUUCUCUCCUGUGACAGAUCCCCCUGACCUUUGGGUCACACUAGAAAUUGGAUUUCAGCAAACUGGCU